CACAUACCUAGUUCCUGUUGGGGACGCUGGUCUUAGACUAGAGGCGCUGACAUCUCUGCCACGCUCGCUGCCUGGACCUGAGUUGGGUCCCAGUGCUGCCAGCACGUCGUCUGAGCCCUGCCCCAUGCACCUCUGCCUCAGCCACAGCCCAGCCCUGCAGCAGCUCCCGCAGGCUGGACCAGGGGAGCUGCGGUCGCAGCCGUCCUUUCGCUCCUGCUUGGCCCGACCUCCCGGACCCCAGAGACCCAAGAAGCAGGUGGUGUUCGCAGACAGGAAGGGGCUCGCGUUGACGUCGGUGCGCAGGUUUGAAGAGGCUGUGGGCAGAGACUCCGAAGAGGGCGCGUAUCCCGUGGCCAGUUUCCCGCGCGCAGCAACCACCCACACGCUGGGCAUCCCGGCACCCGGCCCGGACUCCGCGGGUCUCCCGGUACCUGCGGACUCCGAGCUGGUGCCCAGAGCAGCGCGCCUUGCAGGGAACCUUCCUGCGAGGCACCCUGCGGGGCAAGGGCUGCGAUUCUAGAAGCCAGUGCAGACGCUCAUCACCUUUGAUACUUGGGGCUCCUUCAAAGAAGUGCGCUGGGUUCCCACGCCCCGUUUUUUUGCGGGCGAGACUGACCGCUCCGCCUACAGGCGGUGUUGCCUCCAGGUCCCCCAAGACCGGUGGGCACCAUGCGUCUCUGCUUCUCUCUCGUGUGCUCAACAGCUUUGGGGGAACAGUAACCAAGGACAAAACUGUUGUGUGUACUCAGUUCACAGUCCUGCACAUCAGAACGACAUUGAACUCCGUGGGCCUACAGAUCGGGGGAGCCCUGGGGGUACUGUUGCCGCACAGGCAAAGCUUGAAUUCCUUGCGCAGGAAACUUCGUUCAGACCCUUCUGGCUCCGGGUCGCACAGUGGGGAGACAGGAUUCAGCCCCAAACCACGCAGAAGGCCCUGAAUGCCUUGCACUCUGGUCUCCCUCACUUCCUGACCAGAGGGAAGAGAUUUCCUCCAGGAAACCUGGGAAUGGCGCCCUUUAUGGUUUGCAGGGACGCCCUUGGAGUGCGGAAGCAGAAGAAAUGGAAAUAAAGCUUUUAGAUGUGA